rnacentral:rRNA from 1 species
UGCCAGCAGCCGCGGUAACACGUAGGGGGCGAGCGUUGUCCGGAUUUAUUGGGCGUAAAGAGCUCGUAGGCGGCUCAGUAAGUCGGGUGUGAAAUUUCAGGGCUCAACCCUGAAACGCCACCCGAUACUGCUGUGGCUAGAGUCCGGUAGAGGAGCGUGGAAUUUCUGGUGUAGCGGUGAAAUGCGCAGAUAUCAGAAGGAACACCAGCGGCGAAGGCGGCGCUCUGGGCCGGAACUGACGCUGAGGAGCGAAAGCAUGGGUAGCGAACAGGAUUAGAUA